rnacentral:rRNA from 1 species
CAUAUUCAUUAAGCGGAGGAAAAAGAAACCAACAGGGAUUGCCUCAGUAACGGCGAGUGAAGCGGCAAGAGCUCAAAUUUGAAAGCUGGCCCCUUCGGGGUCCGCGUUGUAAUUUGCAGAGGAUGCUUCGGGUGCAGCCCCCGUCUAAGUGCCCUGGAACGGGCCGUCAUAGAGGGUGAGAAUCCCGUCUGGGACGGGGUGUCUGCGUCCGUGUGAAGCUCCUUCGACGAGUCGAGUUGUUUGGGAAUGCAGCUCUAAAUGGGUGGUAAAUUUCAUCUAAAGCUAAAUACUGGCCGGAGACCGAUAGCGCACAAGUAGAGUGAUCGAAAGAUGAAAAGCACUUUGAAAAGAGAGUUAAACAGCACGUGAAAUUGUUGAAAGGGAAGCGUUUGCGACCAGACUCGCCCGCGGGGUUCAGCCGGCAUUCGUGCCGGUGUACUUCCCCGUGGGCGGGCCAGCGUCGGUUUGGGCGGCCGGUCAAAGGCCCUCGGAAUGUAUCACCUCUCGGGGUGUCUUAUAGCCGAGGGUGCAAUGCGGCCUGCCUGGACCGAGGAACGCGCUUCGGCUCGGACGCUGGCGUAAUGGUCGUAAAUGACCCGUCUUGAAACACGGACCAAGGAGUCUAACAUCUACGCGAGUGUUCGGGUGUCAAACCCGUACGCGCAGUGAAAGCGAACGGAGGUGGGAGCCCCCUCGCGGGGCGCACCAUCGACCGAUCCUGAUGUCUUCGGAUGGAUUUGAGUACGAGCGUAGCUGUGGGGACCCGAAAGAUGGUGAACUAUGCCUGAAUAGGGCGAAGCCAGAGGAAACUCUGGUGGAGGCUCGCAGCGGUUCUGACGUGCAAAUCGAUCGUCAAAUUUGGGUAU